AUGACCCCUUUUCAAGCUGUGUA
rnacentral:siRNA from 1 species